GGCCGUGUGGCAAAAUGGUUACUGCGUUGCUUUCCGAUUGUUACUGUUAAACGGUAACUGGUAGGCAGAGACUGUGGGUUCGAGUCCCACCAUGGUCG